rnacentral:lncRNA from 1 species
AAAGCGCUGUUGCCUUAGCCAAGGAACCAAGGGAUCACAGGAGAUCCAGACACAUCGACAGAAAAUACCAUUUUAUCAGACAUCGAAUAGAAGAAGGACUCCUCGUGGCAAAGAGGGUAUCAUCGGAUGAGAAUCCAGCAGAUCCCCUCACGAAAGGACUGACUCGGGUUAAGCAUCUCCAGCAUUCUCGGAGCAUAGGGCUUAAGGAUGAUAUUUGAUUUAGUAGUUAGAUAACCCUGAAAAAUGUAAAGUGUAAUUGGCAUUAGAUGAUGAAUAAAAAGUGUUUUAUUUAUUAGUAAAGUGUUGCUAUCUCUUGUCGAUCGUUUACUAUAUUUCUUUUGCAUGUUUUGACUUCCAGAAUAAUGAUGGUUGGUAUAUCAUAUUAUUCAAACCUCCACAGUCGGUCAUAUGUCGGAAGUAGGUAUGAAUCAAGACUGUCAUGAUUGGUUGCAGAGGUCUAAGGUGUUGGACAUGGCUACAACAAUCAUGAGUGCUCCUAAGUUCUGAGCUUUGGACUCAACCCACGCUCACCGGAAUCAAUUCAUGGAAUUUAUCUCGAGUGAUCGUGAGACGGUAACAUCAUAUAAGUCUUCAAACCUAGAGAUAUUAUUUGUUAGUUACGAGUUGGUUAUGCAUUGAUUGUACGAAAAUGCAUUGGAAACUGGAUGUUAUAAAAUGUGCUUUUAUGUAUAAUUCAAUGAGUGGUAGAACAAACAUAUGAGUCGAAGUUUAUCUGUUCCUUCUUGGAUUAGAAGCUGAUAUCUGGGCCCCUCGAUGAUUUUGUUUUGACCUAUGUACCGGGCCCGGUCAGAACUAAGUUGAUGUGUUCAAUUAAGUUCUUUGUCAAACAAAUCGGAAAUCGGGAAACAAACUGCUGGACAAUAAGUAAGACAUUGUUCCAUGUAUUUGUCCGGCUGAUAUCUAGAACAGAGGAUUAUAUGAUCACUUAUCUUAAAUGGCGUAUCAUCAUCUUCUCAGUUCCGAGAGACCUUGAAAGAGCUACGAUUGCCGGUCGGUUCCUGAAGUACUAGAGAUAUAGUUAUUAGACUUAUCCAAGUGGGAGACUGUUGGAUAAGGUGUCUAAGUCCAUAACUAUUUCGGGCUUGUACUUGACCCGACCCGGCAUGGUCCAUUUGGGUUGCAUGGCACCAUGCAAUUGGAUAGACUAAAUGAGAGAAAUAACACUUGGAGAUUAUUAAUAUAUUAUAAGUUCUAAUAUAUUAAUAAUAUUAUUUGAUUAGUUUGAUCAAGAAUUAAUUUAGAAUUAAUUAAGUGAUCAAAAGAUAACUAAUUAAAUAUAUGGGUGGAUUAUGUAAAUCAUCCAUAUCUUGUAUAGUGGGCUAAGAGGCUCCAUGGAUUAUCAAGUUGGGUUCCACCCAUAGGAUGCUCCAUGGGAGUUCCAAACCCAUGGGUCAUGGAAAUGAAGAGUCAUGACACAUUAGGGUUUACAUGGUGUAACCCUAGAUGUGUCAACACUAUAUAAGAGUCUCAUACUCCACCAAGAUCAGCUACACAUAUGAAACAAGAGAGCUAGGCCGAUUUCAAGAAGUGUGUUUUCUCUCAAAAGUCUUUCCAAGAGCAUUUGGUGUUGUGUGAAGCAUUUGAGGCAUCACACUUGGGGUGCUACGCUCACAAGGUUUCAGGGAACAUAAGCAACAACAAGGUAAGUUAUUCUAUCUUUCAUUCAAGUUAAAAAUUGUUCCCCAUGUAUGCUAGAUAGGAAUAUAACCUUGGAACUCAACUUUGCAUGAUAAUUAGACAAACAUAGAUCCAAGGUUAUUAGGGUUGCAUGUACACUUAGGAAGUGUUAGAAUGCUCAAAACCCAUUAAAUUCAUCCUCUAACUGCAUUCUGAUAGCUAAGAAGAGGAGUUAUGAAUUGUUGAAGUGGUUAAAUCAAGAAGAUGAUUCAUACUUCGUUCCAAAAACAAUUCUUAGAGUUAUACUCCAAGAUUGUAACUUGAGUGACACAUCUUAAAGUAGGUUUAUUAACACUAGUCAAAUGUAAGAGUAAAAGUUUUCUACUCUUGUACAAUUGAAAUUGGUAAGUUGUGAUGUUUUGGAAAAAACAAAGACCAACUAAGGCCAAUUGUGUGAAGUGUUUUUCUUGAUUAGAAUCCGCUCUAUCUCUUGGAUGUUUGACAAGGGAGUCUUACAUGUCAAGAGGACAGUGGGAGUCUUAAAGGUCUUGAAAGUCUCAAGAACUAAUCAAGAAUAAAACCUGAAGUUCUUUACUAGCACACGACUUGAGGUUUAAACCUACCAUGUUGACAUAUUAUGUGCCCAUUCCAGUUAAAGUUGGCUUUGCAUAUGAGUUCUUAGAGUUCUCAAUUGGUUGCAUAACAACUUAGAAGCAAUGGUAGGCCCUUGAGCUGCCAGGUGGCAAGAAAUUAAGAUUGAGUUCAGUCCAUAAGAAUUUUGAUUUAUCACUAACCUUGUCUUGUGAUUAUGGUUUUGACAAUUCACAUGGAUAAGAGCACAUACACCAUUACAUCUAAGUGUCAUAAGGUUUCUCUCUGAUUCAUGAAAAUUAUGGUGAGGAAACACUUUCACUAAGUAGAUUUUAACUAGAUACCAAUUGUGAUAUUUGCAUUCUCUAAGUCGUUAGUGGAGCGUGUGUGGUUAACCAAUACACUAACAUGGACUUGUGAGAAGUGGCAAAGGUCUAAACAAUUGAGACUAUAAUUACGACGUCCCUUUUCAUAGCUCUUAAAUUGUUUAGACACACUUAUGAGCUAUCUAAGAUAAGGUGUAUGAUAUUGAUAAAGUUUUAUCAAAGCAAUCUAGUAUCAGAAAUCUGAACUUUGGUAAGAAAGUCAAUAAAGUAUUGUUUUCCUAGAAGUCAAGCUGAUUUCUGAGUACAUGUCAAAGCUAGUGGGAGCAUAAGUGUUAUGCUAAUAAUCAUCAUGUUAGAGGGAGCAUGCUAAUUAUGAUAAAGGUUGCGAGUUAGAAAUGUUAAUUAUAGAAAACAAAAGAUUUCAAUUGGGAAAAGUUGGUUUGCUAUAAUUAAGGGAGAGGAAAUCGUACUUCAUCUCAAAUCUAUAAGCUUAGAUCGUGAGAUUUUAAUCAAAUUUAGUCAAGAAUACAUAUGAAUUUCAUAAGGAAAUUCUACAUAUGGGUCUAUUAUUUGUGUUCUAAAAUUCGAUUAUGAUUACGACAUCCCUUUUCAUAAUCUGAAUUAUGAGAACUUGGAAUAUUGAAAUGGAAAUAUUAUAGCAAAAGACUACUUUAGUCUUUAUGUGAGACAUCAUGAAUCGUGUCCCAUAUGCUUCGAAUAUAGGAUCGAUUACAUGUGCUAUGUUCAUCCUUUCUAAAAUUUUCCAAGUUCCUGGGGCAAUAAGAAGGGAAAAGGUCUAGAACUAGAUAUGACUAAAAUGAUUAAGCAAUUGCCAAGGACAAUCUAAGGUUUACCAAAGAUUGGUUGCUCAGGGACAGUUGGAAGUAUAGUGUUAUGUUUGGAAGGACCAUAUUGACAUAUUCUGCAAAGAGGCAACUCUUGUUCAAAAGUGAUAGUCAAAAUGGGAAUAUGGGAAGGUGGAAGUUAUUUGUGUAGGAUUAGGAAACUUAGUGCAAGAAGAAUGUUCAAAGGCAAUGAACUUUGAAUAUGAGACUUCAUUUCCAUGGAUUUGAUCUCCAUUGGAAUACUCUUUAAUGUUCAUUGACAAGUCUUUGUGACUUUGUGCAUAAUCGUUACAAGAGGACCAACGCAUAUAAACUUAAAAUCUAACAAAUUUCGAUAAAUAAUAAGGAUUUGGAAUGCUUAUAUUUACAAUAAGGAUUUGGGAGUGUGAAAUUAGAAUCAUCGUUCGAUUGGUUUAUUUCACAAUGUAAAGAUCAUAUACAAACAUAGUGUGCAUACUUGGUGUAUGGCAUGUCUAGUGUUUAGAAAACAUAGUGUACAUUCUCGGAGCAUGGGACAACUAGUGUUUUAAUUCAAGAAUAAAGUUGAUAGCUGAAACAGUAUGCAAUGAAUAAUGUGUAAUCAUAUGGUGAUAAAUAAAAGGUGUUUUAUUUAUGUUCAUUGAUUUUGGUACCAUAUUAGAUUCAAUUAUUCUUUGUUUCAUUUUGCAUGUUUUGACUUCCAGAAUAAACUACGUUAUUCUUCCGGAAUGACUAAGUUAUUCAAACCAUCCACAGUUGGUCAUAUGUUGGAAGUAGAUAUGAAUCAAGACUGUCAUGGGUUGGCUUGUAGACGUCCAAUUUGGUGGACAAAGUUGUGCUACAACACUCAUGAGUGCUCAUAAGUUCUGAGUAUUAGAUUCAACCCGCACUCAUUGGAAUCACUUCAUGGAUUUUAUCACAAGUGAUCAUGAGACGAUAAUAUCUUAUAUUCUACAAACCUAGAGAUAUGAGUUGUUAGUAUGAGUUGGUUGUACAUUGAUUGCAUGAAAACGCAUUCAGUAACUCGAUGUUAUAAAACGUGCCUUUGUGUAUGAUUCAACAAGUAUUAGAACAAGCCAUAUGAGUCGAAGUUUAUCCAUUCCUUUUACCUUCGGGAUAAAAGCGAUAUAUGUGGUCCCCUCGAUGAUUUAAUGAUGAUACAUGUGAGUGCUUGGCCAAGCCACGACUGAUUAGAUAUGUUCAAUCAGUUAGUCAUCAUAAAUCAGAAAUUGGGAAACAACAAAUGGACAAAGAGAAUGAUUUAUUAUCCAUGUAUCAGUCCAUAUGAUAUCUAGAAUGAAGGAAUAUAUGAUACCUUAUCUAAUGGACAAGUUAUUGACAAAGGUCAGAGUUCAUCGACAAGGUCAGAGUUCGACAGAAGCUUUUGAGAGCUACAAUUGCCAGUCGGUUCUUGAAGUCAUAUGUAAUAAUAGUUUUAGACUUAUCCAAGUGGGAGACUGUUGGAUUAAUGUCUAAGUCCAUAACUAUAAUUGGUAAGACUUGACCCGACCCGGCAUGGUCCAUUUGGGUUGCAUGGCAUCAUGCAUUUGGAUAGACUUUAAUGAGAGAAAUAACACACUUAUGGUUAUUAAUAUAUUAUAAGUUCUAGUAUAUUAAUAAUAAGAAUAAUAAGAUUAUUUAAUUAGUAUNUCAAAAGAAGACUAAUUAAAUCAUCCAUACUUAUAUAGUGGGCUAAUGUUCCAUGGAUUGUCAAGUUGGGCUAAACCCCAUAAGAUGCUCCAUGGUGUAUUUGUACCCAUGGAUCAUGGAAAUGAAAGGCCAUGACAAUUAGGGUUUACAUGGUGUAACCCUAACUAUAUAAUGAUCUUAUUCUUGGAGAAAAUCGGCCACUAUGUGUGAGGAAAAAGGGCUAGCCGAUUUCAUGAAGUGUGUAUGUUCUCUCAAGUAAUUCCAUGUGCAUUUGAUGUUGUGUGAACCAUUUAAGGUGUCACACUUGGGGCACUAGGCGCUCAAGCUUCAUGAAGAUAUUCUACAUCAAAGAGGUAUGUAAUUCUAACUUCAGAUAUCCAUAUGAAUCAAUGUUAUUUUGCUAGUUAGGAUGAAUACCUUGGAAAGUUCAUAUUUGCAUGUAUAUUAGAGAAAACAUAGAUCCAAGGUAUUUAGGGUUGCAUGUACACUUAGGAAUGUUAGAAUGCUAAAAACCCAACAGUCAUUUGUCCAAAGGUGUGUUGUGAUUCCAUUUGAGGCAUUCAUACUAUUGCUUCUAAGUUCUUAAAAGCCAAAAGUACAAACUACAUCAAAGAGGUAAUUUCAUAACUCAUUUCUAUGAUGUUUAUGUUGUUUGUAUCCUAGUCGUAGGCUUAAUUCUUUGGAAACAAUAUUGCAUGUAUAAUUAGAGAAAGCAUAGAUCCAAAGCAUCUAGGGUUGCAUGUACACAAUAGGAGUGUUAGAAUGUUCAAAACCCUUCAGUAUAUACAUAUAGAUCGAUUAAAUUAAAAUAUAUGGUAGGAAAGGUAUGCAGUAGAUAAUUUACAUUAUUUUUGUAUAAUAACAAAAUUAAUUAUUAGAUAAUACAAAAAUAAAAUUUUUCACGAAAAAAUAAGCUGAAAAAAUGUAUCGAUGAUUCAUUUUUGCUAUGAUUCAUUAAAGUUAUCCAAAACAUGAAUCAAAACACUAUUCAGUAAGAAAGUUAUUCAUCAAUGUCUUUUCUUGUGAGUUUUUCAAAUAUUUUAUUUAUUUUAUUAGAAUAAUGAUUAAUUACAACAUAAUAUAUCACUAGUGAAGAAUUAUUAAGUCAUGUAAAUCCUCUUUUGACUUGAAGUAAUUUUUUCCUUUAGCAAAAAACAUAUAGGAUUAUAUCUUAUAAUGACUUGAUGUGUGUGNNNNNNNNNNNNNNNNNNNNNNNNNNNNNNNNNNNNNNNNNNNNNNNNNNNNNNNNNNNNNNNNNNNNNNNNNNNNNNNNNNNNNNNNNNNNNNNNNNNNNNNNNNNNNNNNNNNNNNNNNNNNNNNNNNNNNNNNNNNNNNNNNNNNNNNNNNNNNNNNNNNNNNNNNNNNNNNNNNNUGUGUGUGUGUGUGUGUGUAUGUAUUUGUCUUGGAUAUUUGUUUAUAAAAAUAUAAUCAUGGCUAGAGGUUAGGGAUAUGGUCUUAAACUGUUAAAUAUAAUAAAGAAGCAUGACAUUAAAUUUUCAUUCUUCUCAGUUUAGCUAUCCGAAUUCAUGACUUUAAUCAUCCUUUAUUAUUUCUCUCUCAAAUGGUUAAGGAUAAAAACUAAGAAGAGAGAUAGAUACUUUAUUUCUAUUUAAGUCAAAUUUGAUCUUCGUCUUAAACAUGUUAGUGUUUCUACUAAGGUGGGAACCUACUCUACAUUCUUCAUCAACUUCCAACUACCCAAGAGGAACCAAAGUCUUCAAAUGUUGUAAUCUUUUCUACAUAUGGUUGUUUUAAUCAUUUCAUGUUUGCAAAAUGAUCACUGGUGGGUUAAAAUAGUGUUAAGUUUGUUUACAAUUCUAAAGUUUCUAUAGUCAUUUCUAGUGUUUUUAGAAAUCGAUUUUUCAAUAAAUCCCAACAAUCGGUAUCAGAGCCAAUUUUCCAAACUUGCUUAGAUUUUUAUAUUGUUUAGUAUACUCUUUGUUGUAGGAAAUCACGGAUGAUUCUUUAUAAGAAAAUUCCAUACCUAUUUUCCAUGACUAAUUGACAAUGUUUAUAAUUGUUAUUUUUACAAUUACAAGUUUACAAAUAUUUUUAUGGUCAUAAAAGUUGUUUUAGAAACAUGAAAUGAUGNNNNNNNNNNNNNNNNNNNNNNNNNNNNNNNNNNNNNNNNNNNNNNNNNNNNNNNNNNNNNNNNNNNNNNNNNNNNNNNNNNNNNNNNNNNNNNNNNNNNNNNNNNNNNNNNNNNNNNNNNNNNNNNNNNNNNNNNNNNNNNNNNNNNNNNNNNNNNNNNNNNNNNNNNNNUCUUCCACCGAGCUGAUAUACCGAGCCAAUCUGCCGAGCCGAGCCGCAAGUUCCGAGCCGUAUACUUCUGGAAACCCUAGCCGUAAACGGGAAUCCGCCGCCGGCCGUGAACUGUUUCCGGCCGUAAGCUCCGGCCGAGAACCCUUCAAGAUUACGUGAAAAUUCGACAUUGAAGCUCCAAAACUCAAUCAAAAACCCUUUUUUUAUGAAAAACACAAAGAACAAACCCCCUUUAUUUUUGCGAGAUCUAUCCAAAAACGCAAAAAUAUUACGAAAAUAAGACCAAAUAAUGCUCCAAAUAGAGUUUACGGCCCAAGAACUCGGAGUUUACGGCCGUAAGCUUGGACCGUAAACACCAAUUAUUCAGAUUCCAGAUGAAACAAUAAUCCUUUUGACUGAUACAACUUGGCUCUGAUACCAAUUGUAAGUCCCUAAUCUGCCCAUGUAUCAGUCAGAUCUGUUUAAUGGUGCGGAAUCCCAAUCAAACGGAUGAUAUCAGAUAAAAUAAGAAGAGAAGGAGAAGAAGAGUUGAUAUGAAUCUUGUAUGUAUUGUUAUGAAUUAUAAUCCGAAUACAAAAGAUUCAAACACACAUAAAGCUCCCGUUUCUCUCCUCUCUGGCCGUAAAUUCCUUCGUGUUCAUCAAUCUCUACUCCUCACCCUAACACCUCUAUUUAUACAUGUUGGAUAUGGGCCGGAAACAAAUGGGUCGUAAAUGAGUUUACGGCCGUAAACUCUGCCGUAAACUAGACCAUCAAUUAAUAUAAUAUUACAUAAAAAUAAUUGCCUAGAAAAGUAAAGUAUAAACCAUAUUUUGACCUAACAAAAACAAAAAGUAGGAUGCCAUAAUUCACAAUGUCAUUUAAAGUGCAAUACUAUAAUAAAAAACAAAUAGGAAAAAUGAAAUAUAUAUGAAAAAGUAUGCUAUAAUUGACAAUGUCAUUUAAAAUACAAUAUUAAAAUAGAAAACAACAUAAGAAAAAUCUUGUAAAUAAAAAUUUUUGAAAAAGUAAAAUGUAAUAAUAGAAAAGAUGUUAUAUAUAUAUAUAUAUAUAUAUAUAUAUAUAUAUAUAUAUAUAUAUAUAUAUAUGUAUAUAUAUAUAUGUGUGUGUGUGUGUGUGUGUGUUUGUGUGUAUGUGAGUGUAUUUGUGUUUGUCUAUGAUCUGUAUAUCUUAGCCAUUGACCAUUUAUGAUGUAAUUUGUAUUGAAUUGUUAAAAUGAUUGUAAUACUAAUUUAUUCAUAUGGUAUGUAAGAAUUAAAUAGGUCGUUUUUAUUUUUUAUAUUAUUGUAAUUAAUAGAUUAGUUAAAAUUUUCAAUUCUUAUAAAAAUGUAACAAGAAGUGUAUUUGUGUUUGUCUAUGAUCUGUAUAUCUUAGCCAUUGACCAUUUAUGAUGUAAUUUGUAUUGAAUUGUUAAAAUGAUUGUAAUACUAAUUUAUUCAUAUGGUAUGUAAGAAUUAAAUAGGUCGUUUUUAUUUUUUAUAUUAUUGUAAUUAAUAGAUUAGUUAAAAUUUUCAAUUCUUAUAAAAAUGUAACAAGAAUAAAGAUGCGGUCAUUUUGAAUAUCAAAAGUUUAUGCAAUUAGUUUUAUCAAAGUUCACACGUAGUUUAGUUUUAAGAAAAAUUUUCUUUUAUAUAAUAUGUGGCAAAUUAUGACUUUAUAAUAAAUACUUUUUUUUAUAAAACAUUAAUUACGGAAAAUUUUGAAGAUUAAUUUUUAUUAGUUUAAAAUUGAGAUUUUAGAGACUUAUAAAAUUGAAGCUUUAUUACAAGUUUAUAAUUGCUUCGUUAGCGCUCAAACUACAAUACUUAAUAUAAGAUAUUAGAAUUAAAAUUUGAUUGCCUUGAUUAUAUAAUAUAUAAAGUUGGAUUACAUAAAAGAAGCAUUUCAAUAAAAUAUGAUUGUUCUAAAAAUAUCACUUGUCUUUUUGGAUGCAUGAAAUAACCAUGACAUCAUAUGUUUUUUAAACCGGGAUUAUAAAAGCAUACAAGACCCCUUAUUAAACACAAAUUUAUGUCCUCCGCUUUGGAUACCCUCGCGCGUCACUUGUAUAAAGCUUGUGGGAUAAAGGAUACCUAACCAAUUCUUCUUUAUCUUGAUGGUCGAGGUGGUUUUGUAAUUUUCGAGUGAGAUAAAGGAUAUCUGACCACUAGUUGUGUGCCGAUUAUACAUGUCUUUCAAAUUGGAAGUGUUGAUCGGAAAUAUUUUAUGAUAAAGGUCACUUAAGAAGGAGACAUCCAAAACAUAGAUGAGAUCAAACAUAUCUAUCAAAAUAAUAUGUUAUUGAUCCAAUAAAUCUAGGAAUUAUUUAACAUAAUAUAAUUUAAAAUCGUUUUCUACCUAGUUGAAUUCAAUUAAUGGGAUAAAUGAUAGCUAGCCAUAUAUUUGUUUUCACAUUGGAUCAUAUAUUUUGAUAAUAAAUGUUUUAGAAAUGGAAAAAGUAUUAAUGUACAUAGAUACCUAUCAUGUUUAAAUUUAUAACCCUACAAUGCUUUUCUACUAAUUUACUUAUAGGCAGCAUAUCUAGUCAGUUUAUAGUAUAGAAAAGUAAGUCAGGUGUCAAUCUCAGUGAAUGGAAUUUAGUUAAUAAAAUAACUACUAAAAAUUAAUCUAAGAAAAACAACUUAAGUGUUUAUGUUUGUUUGGGGGAGAGGGGAGGGUUAUCUGAUUUUGCAAGUUCAUAUUAAAUUCUUUUUAAAGGACCAAAAACUAACAUAAACAACUAACUAACACGACUAUAAUCGAGAGGAUAAAGUCACUUCCGUUUAGCUUCGAAUCCAUUUUUUCCUAUGGGUAGUUUCAAAUCAUGGAUUAAUUUUAGUUGGUUCCCAAUAUAAAAUUAUUAGAAGUCAUGGUCCGAUCUCCGAAUGUUUUCACCAAUUCAAAGGAUUUUUAUGCUUUUUCUAUUGAUUUUAAUUCACUUGCUAUGAUCUUUUACAUGUUGCUUGAUCAUGUUUCUUGAUCUACUGAAGAUCUGAAGGUGAAGGUUGACCGGGCGGAGCAUAUGCUGGAGACCAAGGAGUUGAUUUCUAAGGUUAAGAGCAGUGUUGUUGAGGUCAUCUAAGAGGUAAAGAUCAAGCUGGCAGAGGAUGUGGAGAAUAAAGAAUCUUAGAAUGUCGAAGAUUGGCAUGAAACCCUGGCUAAGUUGAUUGGAAAGCUUUUAAAUGUUGCUCAAGAUCCUACAAAGAAGAGAAGAAAGAGACAAAGUAUAUCCUAACUGGGGGUGAUCAAACCUUGAAUUAAGUUUGAUAAAUUUAAAAACAAUUUUAAAAUUUUCCUCUAUAAAACAAUAUUUUUUUUUAUGGUUGGAGGGUAACCCUUAUUAAUACUGAUGCUUUGGUAUAUCUCUUUUCUUGCGUGAUUGAUUUGGUUACAGAAUCAAAAUAGGUUUUCUUGGGAUUCGUAGAUAAUUAGGAUCCUAAAGAGUUCAAAUUUUACAAAAUUCUUGGGAUCCUAAUAAUCUAGGAUAGCUAAUCAUCUGCCAAGGUCUUUCAAUUCAUUAGGAUCCUUAGUUAAAAAGGAUGAGCUUUUGAUUAUCCUCUUAUAAUGAUAAACUUAAGAAAAUAAGGAUAUAUAGAACCUGAUGACCCUUAGGUUUUGACCUUCUAAAGAUUUUUGACUUUGUAGAAGUUUUGCAUUGUAAGUCCUUUAGCUCUACGUGGUCUUGAAGCUUGUAUCAGGAGGAUUCUUUUUUUGGGAUUUUGAUGUGUGCAAACUCACUUAGUUUUAAACCUACUUUUAAUUAUCAAAUAACACACAAAAGGCAGUGAACCUAUCAAUUGUGAUAUAGUUGAAUAAGUAGGGUAUCGAACACAGGGAAAGGCAAAUUAAAACUAAAAACUAAUUUUAUCUAAAUUAAUUAAUAAGUAGGGGUUUUCUCUAUUUUUACAAGACUAGAAACUUACUAACUAUUACUUACUUAGAAACUAAAAGCAAAGGACUAACUAAAUUCAAUAGCGGGAAGGAACUUCUAUUUAGUUCAACUCAAUUGAUCCUAUGGUUGAUUACAAGGUAAUGGUGCAAUGGAUUAAUUAUUUUUUCGGUUACCGAUUCAAGUGAUUAGUUUCGCAUUCACUACACUAAUCCUUAGCAAACAAACAAACUUAAACAGUGGCCAGUUUUCUAAUUUAAUUGAAUUUACUAGAUUAAUUAUUUGGGUUAAGUUAGACUUGCAAUAGUUAACUAAUUUAUUCUUUUAAUUAACUUCUUGUUUGAUGGUCAUCUCACAAGCUUGCACAUGAAUUUACUCAAUUUUCUUAUUAACUCUAGUUUCAUAUUCAUUAAUACUAGACAUAUGACAAUAGUGAUCACAAAGUAUAUGAGAUUGAUAAUCAAUAGAUGUUCAUGCUAAUCAAUUAUCUCCCUAUUAACAGAAAAUUAAUUAUUAUUCACACACAAGGUUCUUUAGCAAGCUAAAAUAACAAAAUUCACCAACUUAGAAUUAAUCCUACCAACAAUCAAACCAUAUUAUCAAUUUUGUAUCCCCAAACAGAAGUCUAAAGGUUUUAGCUCAUAAUUGAAGUAAAUAACAGCAAACAAACAGAGUCUAAUUGUUUAACCAUAAUGACAAAACAAAAGAUUAAGUGGAAUGAUGAAAUUUUGCCUCAAUUCUCCUUCGGGAUUGAAUUCUAGCUUAUGACUUUGUCUUCUAGGGUUUUUCUGACUUCUUAAUCGCAGCAAAAGUCUUCUAAAUCGUCCCAUAAUUCCUCUAUAUCGUUCUGUGGAGUUAUCUUUAUAUAUACGAAUCGACUCGUCGAGUCAGGUGGCGACUCGUCGAGUCCAUCUCACAUUCCCCGUAUUGUGAUAACUCUCUGGGAUCCCGAGUCUUUAUCUUCUCGAUUCUUCGAUCGGACUCGCCGAGUAGUCGCCCCUACUCGCCAAGUAGGUGCUUUUUUCAAUGUUUUUCUUCUUUGUUCCGUUAUCGAACUUCUAACUAUUUCUCCCGCUUCCUUUCGCUUCCGAGCUUCAUUUUUGGACUGAAAACAUAAUUCAAACACUUUUAAGUACCUUUUGUCCAUAAAAUGCAAUAAUUUAGCUAAUAAAUGAAUAAAAAUGUAUACUUAAUAUGAACUAAUUAUGCACAUAUCAAAAUACCCCACACUUGUCUUUUGCUUGCCCCCAAGCAAAACUGAAUUUUAAACACAUUAGAAUUACAUAUGACAAUUCCAAUCUAACCCAGCUAUUAUGCCAAGACCGCAAUGCAUGCAUUUGUGUCUAAAGUUGUCCUAAGUACCCCCAUACUCCAAAUACUCACAAUCCUCAUAAACAUUCGCCCACUCACCCCGAACUAUGCUCAUUUUAUGCAACCCUCCGAAUCCAUCCGUAGAAAACCUCUUACCCUCAAGGUAUUUUUAAUUGAGCAACCCAAGCAUACAUAAUCUAGAAUUACAACUUUUCGAUACCACUAUGGAGCUCUCUUGAAUUCUUUACUUCCUUGAUAAUUUGAUCUUUGAUUUCUUUGAAUUCACCACCUUUAUUGUUCGAUUUCUGGUAUCUUCAACUUUUUGAAUUUCUUGGAAUUUUGAUCUUUUGAUCUUCACUUUAUUUGCUCCAAAAUUCUUCAACUUUUCUUGCAAUUCUCUCUUUUUUUUUUUUUUACAUGUACCUCACUUUUUCUUCACUCAAAACCCUACAUGCUUAAGCAGGGGCGCUCAAUCUCAACCUUUAUUGGCUAACGAUAAUAAUUUUCCUGGAUACAUUUCAGGUUUAGGCUGCUAAACAUAUUGCAUCCCUCAGGCUGAGCGGGGUCGUGUUUUUGUCUCAUGAUUUCACUGGAAUAAGGAAGCCACAAAUGCACUAGAACGUAUAUAGGCUCAACUAAACAUUUGGGUUUUCAUNNNNNNNNNNNNNNNNNNNNNNNNNNNNNNNNNNNNNNNNNNNNNNNNNNNNNNNNNNNNNNNNNNNNNNNNNNNNNNNNNNNNNNNNNNNNNNNNNNNNNNNNNNNNNNNNNNNNNNNNNNNNNNNNNNNNNUGCUAAACAUAUUGCAUCCCUCAGGCUGAGCGAGGUCGUGUUUUUGUCCCAUGAUUUCACUGGAAUAAGGAAGCCACAAAUGCACUAGAACGUAUAUAGGCUCAACUAAACAUUUGGGUUUUCAUAGAAUCAUCAAAUAUAAUACUAGCAUGAUCCCUAAUUACUUUUACCAAAAUUUUCUAAUUUAGCCCUAUCAAUUUUAUGCAAAAUUUUAAAAUUUAACUAUAAUUUUAACUAAUUUAACCAACCCCUACCCCACACUUAAUUUAUGCAAUGUCCCCAUUGCAUAUUAUGCAUGAUAAAGAACAAUAAAAUAAAGAGAGAAUUGGAACAAACUCCCCUGGGAUAGUAGUCGCGAGGUUGAUCUUCUUUAUUUAAAGCUCCAUCUUCAGCUGAUUUUAGACAUGGGAACAGCUCAUCCAUGCCUUGGGUGUCAAACAUCUCGUGUGGUACAGUCUUUAUAAAAGCUCCAAAUAUAAGGGAAAAACUCUUGCAAAUGCUCGGAAAAUGAUCUUCAAAGAAUAGAACCAAUGCCCAUAUCAAAUGUCAUCAAAUCUUCAGCUCAAAAGUAAGAAGAAUGGGUGACUCGUCGAGUAAGUAUGUAGACUCGCCGAGUUGAAGCACAAAUGGCAGAUGAAUCGUGAAUUUUCUCAUGGACUCGGCGAGUCCAUAAGAUGCACUCGGCGAGUAGACCGCUGUGUGAAAAAAAAAUUAUUCUGCCCAAAUCCGUUUCUAAUGUAUAGGGGUUACGUANCUUUUUGUGCGAGUUUUGAGCUGGACUCCCAACAUAAUAAACUUCCAAUAAACUCAUUACCAAUCCAUCCGUUGCAUUAAAUAUUUUCUUUGGUGCAACAAUUUGUAAAAUUUGACUCUUUGCUUCUAAAAUUGGCCAAACGAGCUUUAAUACAUAAAACCCAAGAAUUCUGACAAGGGUUGGGACUGGUCGGGUACUAAUCAGAAAUGGAUCGCACUUCAGAACUUUCUCCAAAGUUGGAAUCGUCACCCCAUGCUUCGAAACACAAACAGAAAAUACAGGGGGCCAUGUCGUGGUAAUGGUCAAACCACAGCUUGGUUCCUGCAAUUCAGCUUGUUCUUAUUCUUCGUCUGACCUCUCUGUUGGCAACCUUUCUAGCUCCUCCAAAUCUCUUUCUGGAUUAAAUUCAUCAUCUUGUAACUUUAGCUCUUGUGACUCAAACUAUUCUUGAUCGUUAGACAAGAAGUUAUCUAACCAUCUAUCCAAUUUCAUCAACUCUUCGUCUGAGUCAUACUCCUCAUCUUCUUGCUCAAAUUCCUACAUUACCUCCUCAAGAAAAGCAUCAAAAGCAUCGAGAUUUGGAAAAUACAUAAUAAAAAAAAACAAAAAAAAAACUAAUCAAUAAAAUAAAAACGAUAAGAAUUAGCAAAUAAAAUUAACUAUUUGAACCGUUCCCCGGCAACGGCGCCAAAAACUUGAUGUGUGCAAACUCACUUAGUUUUAAACCUACUUUUAAUUAUCAAAUAACACAUAAAAGGCAGUGAACCUAUCAAUUAUGAUAUAGUUGAAUAAGUAGGGUAUUGAACACAGGGAACGGCAAAUUAAAACUAAAAACUAAUUUUAUCUAAAUUAAUUAAUAAGUAGGGGUUUUCUCUAGUUUUACAAGACUAGAAACUUACUAACUAUUACUUACUUAAAAACUAGAAAGAAAUGGACUAACUAAUUCAAUAGCGGGAAGGAACUUCUAUUUAGUUCAACUCAAUUGAUCCUAUGGUUGAUUACAAGGUAAUGGUGCAAUGGAUUAAUUCUUUUGUCGGUUACCGAUUCAAGUGAUUAGUUUCGCAUUCACUAAACUAAUCCUUAGCAAACAAACUAACUUAAACAGUGACCAGUUGUCUAAUUUAAUUGAAUUUACUAGAUUAAUUAUUUGGGUUAAGUUAGACUUGCAAUAGUUAACUAAUUUAUUCUGUUAAUUAACUUCUUGUUUGAUGGUCAUCUCACAAGCUUGCACAUGAAUUUACUCAAUUUUCUUAUUAACUCUAGUUUCAUAUUCAUUAAUACUAGACAUAUGACAAUAAUGAUCACAAAGCAUAUGAGAUUGAUAAUCAAUAGAUGUUCAUGCCAAUCAAUUAUCUACCUAUUAACAGAAAAUUAAUUAUUAUUCACACACAAGGUUCUUUAGCAAGCUAAAAUAACAAAAUUCACCAACUUAGAAUUAAUCCUACCAACAAUCAAACCAUAUUAUCAAUUUUGUACCCCCAAACAGAAGUCUAAAGGUUUUAGCUCGUAAUUAAAGUAAAUAACAGCAAACAAACAGAGUCUAAUUGUUUAACCAUAAUGACAAAACAAAAGAUUAAGUGGAAUGAUGAAAUUUUGCCUCAAUUCUCCUUCGGGAUUGAAUUCUAGCUUAUGACUUCGUCUUCUAGGUUUUUUCUGACUUCUUAAUCGCAGCAGAACUCUUUUGAAUCGUCCUAGAAUUCCUCUAUAUCGUUCUGUGGAGUUAUCUUUAUAUAUACGAAUCGACUCGUCGAGUCAGGUGGCGACUCGUCGAGUCCAUCUCACAUUCCCCGUAUUGUGAUAACUCUUUGGGAUCCCGAGUCUUUAUCUUCUCGAUUCUUCGAUCGGAUUCGCCAAGUAGUCUCCCCUACUCGCCGAGUAGGUGCUUUUUUCAAUGCUUUUCUUCUUUGUUCCAUUCCCGAACUUCUAACUGUUUCUCCCGCUUCCUUUCGCUUCCGAGCUUCAUUUUUGGUAUAAAAACAUAAUUCAAACACUUUUAAGUACCUUUUGUCCAUAAAAUGCAAUAAUUUAGCAAAUAAAUGAAUAAAAAUGUAUACUUAAUAUGAACUAAUUAUGCACAUAUCAGAUUUCAUCAUGGAAGAUCCUUGUUUAGCUUCUACUUAGUAAACCAGGGAGGAUUCCAUGUUAGAAAGCCUUUGGAGGUAAAUCCAAGUGAGAAAACUAUUGUUUAUAACAUGGUAAUGCUACAAAUCUUGCAUAUAUUCAGAGGAGUGACCUAGUCUUAGUAAACUAUUGGGAAAAAUCCAAAGUGUAUGAUAACAUGAGAAUGUUAUAAACAUUAAGUAUUUUGUGGGGAAAAUCCCAACAUGAGAUAACACGUAGGUGUUAUAAACUUUAGAAAAAAAAAAUCCAUACAUAGCUUUUGCUAGGGAAAAUCCCAACUUAAAAAAUAAUGGAGAAGAUCCCAACUUAGGUAAUAUUAGGAAAGACCCCAAAUAGGUAAUACCAGGGAAGAUCCCAACAUAGGUAAUAUCGGGAAAUAUCCCACAUAGGUAAUAAUUGGGGAAAUCCCAACUUUAGAUAAUAACCGAGGAUAAAUCCAACUUCAAAUAAUAACUGAGGAUAAACCCAAUUUCAGAAAAUAACUGAGGUUAAACCCAAAUUUAGAUAAUAACUAGGGAUAAGCCUAUUUCGUAAGAAAACAUGAUAAUGUUAUAAACUUUAGAAAUUUAGUGUAGGUUCUGAACGUAAGUUCUUCAUAAUAAAACAAGUAUAAAAGAAGUUGUUAAGAACUAAUUUUGGUAAAUCUAAUCAAUUUAAAAUAGUAAAUUACUCUAAAGUGAUGAAAUUUUAUAAAUCAUAAAUUGGUUUAGGAUCCUGAAAAUUUUAAGAUCCUUAAUUUUACAUAAAAAAUUUCAAAGUUAAGAACAAGGAAAAAUGGAACCUGAUUGUCUUCGAGUUUUUCCUUAAGCUUCAAAAGUUCUUCAAUCUUAGAAUUUACUGAGGAUAAAUCUCAACUUAGGAACGAACUUAGGAUUGCUGUUGACCUCUAAUGAUAAGAUUCUUACUGAUGAGGAUCCUUACCGAUGAGGAUCCUUAAUGAUGAGUAUCAUAAGAUCAUACGGGGGAAUUUCCUUCUUAGGACAACCAGUUUAGGUUAUAAACCUUGAGAAAAUUCCUGGGUAACUCCAUAAGUUCAAUUGAUAACAUGUUAAUGUUAUAUACUGGGGAGGAUCCCAACUUGUGACAUUAUUCAUGGGAAAGAUCCUUACUAAUGAUAACAUGAAAAUGUUAUAAUUUGAGUGUAUUCUCUGGGGAAAAUUUCCCACGUUUGAUAGCAUGAAGAUGUUAUAGACCUUAUGUAGUUUUUGGGGCAAGAUCCCAAUUUUGUAUAAUAUGAGAAUGUUAUAAACCUUAUGUAAUCACUGGGCUAGAUUCCCAAUUUUUGAUUAACAUGAGAAUGUUAUAAACCUUAAGGAUCUCAACUUAUGUUCAAAGAUAAGAGGGUUGCCAAGCCACUGAGUUGUGAAAUGAUCCCUUUAUUCAUAUCCCACAGUUAGAUAUCGUGCAUCCAAGCAAGGUGUAGAAACCUAAACUUGUUAAAAAGAGGUCAUUAACUCUUUAAACCUUAGGAUCUUAACAUAUGUUUUGAAAUAAGUGGGUUUCCAAGUCACUAAAGCAUGAAAUGAUCCCCUUACUCACAUUCCAUAGUAAGAUACCGUGCGUCCAAGCGGGGUGUGGAAACCCAAACACGGAUGAAAGAGGUUAUUAACUCUUUAAGCCUUUGAGGGGAUUAAGUACCCUUAAUCGGAGGAGAGAUGAUCAAUCUCUAUACGUAGUGGAUAGGAUCCUAGAGUUUCUGCAUGUUGCAAAUGUUAGCUUGGGGUGGGCGUUAGCUUGGCUAAUGCCCCUCCGAUCUUAGCUUGGUUGUGAUGAAAUGUAACUAUAACGACAUACGUAAAGCGCACUUUCAGGUGUAUAAAAUUCCAGGAUCUUAGCAAGAUGCUAGCCACGAUGCUCCCUUUUUUGCUUCCGAAACAAUGAGAUAUGCAUCAUAGUUCUAAUCAUGCGUGAAGGCAUAUUUCUUUAUGGUUAUCCAAUAAUAUCAUGUUAUUAACACUUUAGGAAAUAAGGAUCUGACCCCAGUGUGGUUGCCAUAAUCUACUUCAUGUAUGUCUUUUAGAAUUUCUGUAGCUUCGUGAUCUUCCAAACAUCUAAGAUAUGGACCUGCCAUGGUUUUCCUAUGUAAUUUCCCUUGGAUCAUUACAAAGUGUGAGUCCCUCAUCUUGAAGUCUUUGUCGCUUUUCUCUUCCUUUGGAAUCAUUCCAUUUCACAGAAAUUCCAAAAUGGAGUGGAUCCAGGAUCAUGAACUUUAAAAAGGUUUGAUUGCUGCUAGGUUGGUCAUCUGAUCAUGGUCGCCGGGGUUGUCUGGUCUCUUGGUGGGAUCUUUUAUCGUCGGGAGCAUUAUAUGGGUUAUUGGGAUCCUGGUCUUUGGUGGGAUCCUAAGGGAAGAUCCUAAGUGGACUGAUGUGUCUGCCUCAACGUUAUCUUUGCUAGCAACUUGAUUCAUACUAAAAGCUUCAAACUCGGAGGCUAAUAUUUUAAGAAUUUGAAGGUAUAGUGCUAGUCUUUUGCCUUGAACUACAUAGGAUCCAUUAAAGUGGUUAGUUAUUAAUAAAAAAAUUGACAUAUACCUGAAGACCCUUGAUCUGAAGAUCUUUGAUCAGUUGUAACCCCACGAUCAAUGCUUCAUACUUUGCUUCAUUGUCAGUUGCAUUGAAUUUAUAAAUAAAUUCCAGGGUAGGAUGUCCCCCUAUAGCGAUUUUAGUAUGAUCCAUGGGCUUGCUUCCCUAAAGUUGUUAGUUUCAUCUGCGAAAAGCGUUUAUUUUCCCAUGCUUUCUUCUUUUUGGGGUUGUCGAUUUUCCAAUUCUGCUUUUGGGUUGUAGAUCAUCACUAAAAUCAGCCACAAAUUCUGCUAGUACGUAUGAAUUUUUUGAGGAUCCUCACUCAUAUUUGAAUUCAUAUGUGAUGACCUUUAUUGACCAUUUAGUUAUUUUAUCUGACAUUUCUAGAAUUCUCAUGAAAUUCUUGAUAAGAUAAUGAGUUUUGACUCAUAUAAUAUGAGUUUCAAAAUAAUGUCUUCAUUGGGUAGAAGUUAUAACUAGUGCAAGUAUUUCUUUUCCACGAAGAGAGUACCAGUUUCAGGAUCUGAGAGACUUUUACUUACAUAGUAAAAAGUUUGUUGUUUACCAUCAAGAUCCUUGGCCAGAACAACACUUAUAACAUCUAAAGAUACUGAAAGAUGUAAGAGGAAUGCUUCCUCAUUCGAAGAUCCUUGGACAGGACUUAGUUUUAUUCCCCUAUCGGUGACCAUGUAUCUGAGGAACUUACCUAACUUCAUUCCAAAGUGACACUUGGAAGGGUUCAGGUUCAUGUUAUAUUUGUCUAGUAUGUUGAAGGCAUCUUCAAGAUCUUUGAGGUGAUCUUCAUCUCUUUUGGAUUUGACCACCAUGUCAUCAAUGUAGACUUCCAUGUUGUCCCUAAGUUUGUCCUUGAACAUUCGAUUCAGUAAUCUUUGUUAUGUUGCACUUGUCAUGCCUUUGUGCUUCCAUGCAAAGGUUUUCUUUCAGGAAUGUAACUAAGUCCAUUUCAAUGCCUUCUGGUAUUGAGGAUCCUAUUAGUACUUUGGCGUCAGGAUCCACAAGGUCUAAGGGCACUUCUUUUAUAUCUUGCUCAUUCUCUUAUGGUUCAUCUCGUUCCCCCAGCUUCAAUUGUUAUGCUUGCUUUGGUACAGAGGAAGGCAUUAUUGAAAUCUUGUAUCAUUCUUUUGUUGGAUAAUGAGUCUAAGUCCAUAACUAUAUUUAGUAUGUACUUGACCUAGUUUAGCAUGGCCCAUUUGGGUUGCAUGGCAUCAUAAUAAUUAGAUAGACAAAAUGAGAAAAAGGACACUUAUGGUUUGUUAAAAUAUUAUAUGUUCUAAUAUAUUAUUUAAUUAGUAUUGAUCAAGAAUUAAUUUGGAAUUAAUUUUGUGAUCAAAAAGAGACUAAUUAAAUAUAUGGGGAUUGAUUUGUAAAUCAUUCAUUCUUAUGUAGUGGGCUUAUCGUUCAUGAUUCACUAGAUUGGGCUAGGACCCAUUGGGUGCUCCAUGGGUGCUCCAUGGAGGUUAAAACCCAUGGAUCAUGGAGGAAAUAAAAAUUCAUGCACAUUAGGGUUUACAUAGUGUAACCCUACAUUUGGCACACUAUAUAAAGAGCCCCAUGUAAAGCAAAAUGGGCACUAAGUCUAAAUGGGUGAAGGCUAGCCGAUUUUUGUGCUCAAGUUUCUUCUCUCAAGUUAUUCCAAGAGUUGUGGUGUUGUGUGAAAUAUUUGAGGCAUCAUAUUUGGGAUGCUAGGGUCACAAAGGCUUAAGGAAUCCAAGCUACAAGAAAUGUAUGUCAUUCUACUAGUUUUUUAUAUUACAAGUACCCCCUGACAUGCUAGUUAGGAUGUAAGCCUUGGAAAAUCAAAUUUGCAUAAAUAUUAGAGAAAACAUAGAUCCAAGGUUUCUAAGGUUACGUGUACACCAUAAGAGUGUUAGAAUGCUCAAAACCCAUUAGUGGUAUCAGAGCCUAGGCUUUCUUUCUUGAUAUUUGAUGCAAAGUGCUUGAAAAAAUUGAAUUUUCUGCUCACUUUUCAGUGGACUCUCCGAGUCCAUGGGGGGACUCGACGAGUCCAAGCGAAAAUGCAUCCUACUCGUUGAGUAGGUUCUUGCACUCGGCGAGAAGGAGCUCCUGUGUGUAGAUUUUCGAGUUUUGCUACUAGAAAUGGACUAGAAUCAUUACCUAAUCUAUUUUGGACUUAUAAAAUAUGGUUUUGAUGGUGUAAUGAUUAUGCUAAUCCAUUUUCAACGGCUAUUAUCAAAAUUUCAAGUUUUAUACGUGUUUAUAUGAUUCUUUAAAUUUUUGAUAUGAAUAUUCAUGCUUAUGAGUUUUAGUCAGAUCAUAGGAAUUAUGUGUAAAUUGUUUGAUGAUGUAAUUCUUGAUCUAACUGUAAUUCAUGGAGUCCAUAAUUUGUCCUCAAGUUAUGGAUUACCGAAAUUCUUUUCUUUAAAGAGUGAUUAAAGAACCAUAGGUUACAUAAAAUGAAGAGUCUUCAUUUUAAUAAACCAUUAAAGUCAUAAGUUAUGAAUAUGAAAGGUUUUAAAAAGUUUCAAAACUUCCCCUCAAGUUUUGGAAUUUGUAAAUUCACUUUAGAAAACUUUAAUUCCAUACUCUAGAGUUUUAAAAGUUGAAAUUCAACCCUUAUACUUUAUAAUAUUGUAAGUUAACAAUAUAUAUAUAUAUAUAUAUAUAUAUANNNNNNNNNNNNNNNNNNNNNNNNNNAUGUGUGUGUGUGUGUGUGUAUAUAUAUAUAUAUAUAUAUAUAUGUGUGUGUGUGUGUGUGUGUGUGUAUGUAUGUAUGUAUGUAUGAGCAAGUUAGUUUUCCCAUUAGUAGGCCUCAUUCAUGAUGUCAGUCUAUAAGGGGGGUAUAAGGUUGUUACCUAUAAAAUGGCAGCUUAAUGGGUGUCCACUCUCACCCACCACUUCCUUGACUGGUGGAGGGUCAUUAGCCGAAUGGUUAGGACAAGGAAUCUAAUUCUCAUUAAAAGUAUAAUGAAAAAUAUAAAGUAACUAAAUGUCACACCCCCAAACCAAGGAUGGCGGAAACGUCCGGGGGUGGAGGACUUCAUGUAGAGUAUCACAACAACGAGUAUAAUAGUGCUCAAAGUAAAUACAACCAUCAUAAAUAUAAUGGAAACAGUUACACCAAAGUAUAUGUUUACAUGAUUCAAAUCAAUUACAUUAUGAUACAAAAUGAAUUGUUUGACGAUUUAUCGUCCCAUCCUCAAAACGUGGUUGAAUUCUUGUUUCACUGAAUUCCUGAGAAUACAAGUAGUUUGGAAAAGUGUCAACACAAAGGUUGGUGAGUUCAUAGGCUUUUGAUAGUAAGAGUUUGAAAAUCGAUCUUUGUAAAGAGAUGUAUGUUACCAAGAAAAAUCCAAUAUUUUCCUUACAAAAGUUAUGUGGUCCUAAAUACCAGGACCAAAAAUGAACAAAUAUUUGUCAUACUUAAAGAUAUAAAAGUGGUUUUAAAUCGGCAUAAAACCCUUUCUGAUGUGAGAAAAAUCCUGUAAUGAAUGAUGUGUAGUCUUAAAUACCAAGACCGAAAGUAUACAAUAAAAUGUGUAAUUGCUGAUGUAAAAAGUGAUUUUAAAUCGACAUAAAACCCUUUUUGAUAUGAAGGCGUACAAGUAUUUUUCCAUACUUAAGGAAACUUCUAUGUGUUAAAUCGACAUAACUCGCUAAUUUAAAAUUAGAACCCGUAAAUCUUAUGAUUGUUAAUACCACAUGUGAGCUAUCAUAACCAUACUUGACAUAGACGGCCUCGUAAUACGACGUUCUUCAGGCGUCGCCGUUAAAUGACACUUGUCACCACAGACCUGCCGGUCUAGCUGUUGCAAGCAGCUCUGGUGUGGGUUUGUCAAACCCAAUAUAGAUCUAUACACAACUAUCACGUUCUCCCUACAAGAGACUCUGGUUACAAUUUACAGGACUUUUUGACUUUGUUACUUUGGAAGUAACCCGAAGGGAAUGACUCACAAAUUUAUUCAUUAACAGAUUUACGUGAACUAAACUGAAAACCUUUGGUAAAUAAGUUUGAGAAGUAAAUGAUACAUAAACUAUACCUAUUAUAGUUUAUCCAAAACGUUUGUAAUGUAUAAGAAUUCUUUUAUGAAUGCUUUAAUGCUAUGAAUCCAUAAACUAUGCUCAUUAUAGCUUAAUAUACGUGUUCUAAAUGAAUGAAUAAUCUUAUCAUGAAUGACUAUAUUUCAGUUUAUGAUGAUAAACUAACAAGGAAACACAUUCAAUAUUUAGAACUUAUCGUUAUACACUUUGCUCAACAUAAUACAAAGUGUUAUGAAAGUUAUAAGCUGUUAACAAAUUUUCAACCUUUCUACACUGUUUUUGAAAAGUCAUAGAAAAAUCAUACGAAGUUGAAAACUAAAUCCGUAAAUUCUGAGAGUUCCCAAAAUGUGUCUAGUUUACUCAUAAUUUUUAUCAUGAUUUUUAAUGACCUCCAACUUGGGUGAAAAAGUCCAUAAUCACAGACUGGUCCGGAUUGGUGUUUGAAAUGAUAGGCAAUUUUGUAAAAAUCACCAUAAAUUGUAUAAAAAUCGUAUGGAGAUGUACAAGUAGUCAUUUUAAAGCUAACAACUGGAACUACUUACACCUAAAACAGUUUUUCAAAAAAAAAAUGUUUAUGUUGUCCAAAACAGUCCGUGAAUGGAGUCCAACUUUUCUGAUGAAAGCUGUAAGAAAAUUUUAGUUAUGUUCUUGGUGUUUUAACUUGUAUUCCCCCCCCUAAAAACUUGAGAAAACAUGAAAAUGUAGGGGUAUGAACUCAGCUUGAGUGAUUUCAGAAGAUGAGUGUUGGAGAAGAGAAGUGUUCACCCCAAGAACACUUGAAGAAUCACUUGAAGAUUCGAAGAUCUAACACAAUUAUGAUGGAGUUUGUGUAAGAUAUCCAUGAAUUGAGUAGAAAGAAGUGAAAUAAUCAUAAGGAGAAUGGAUUUUGCUUACCAAAUGUGGAGGAAAAACCCAAGAUCAGCCCUUGAAUCUNNNNNNNNNNNNNNNNNNNNNNNNNNNNNNNNNNNNNNNNNNNNNNNNNNNNNNNNNNNNNNNNNNNNNNNNNNNNNNNNNNNNNNNNNNNNNNNNNNNNNNNNNNNNNNNNNNNNNNNNNNNNNNNNNNNNNNNNNNNNNNNNNNNNNNNNNNNNNNNNNNNNNNNNNNNNNNNNNNNNNNNNNNNNNNNNNNNNNNNNNNNNNNNNNNNNNNNNNNNNNNNNNNNNNNNNNNNNNNNNNNNNNNNNNNNNNNNNNNNNNNNNNNNNUUUUGGAUAAGGUUUUAUCCUUAAAAAUGUGAUAAUUUAAUAAUUAUGGGUCCUUAUAUGUUAAAAUAAAGUUUUGGAUGAAAAUCCCACAUUAAAACAAUUAAAAACGAAGCUAAAAUGAAGUCGUAGUCGAAAACCGGGAGAAAAAGGAUUUCCAGCGAGACCUCUCGGUCCCUAGGCCGAGGUUCGGUCCCUAAUGAUGCCGAGCCGGAGGCGAGAUUGGCGAAACAGAAGUGUGAAGCGAAGGCGAAGGCUCGGUCCUAGUCUUAGAAGCGAGGGCUCGGUCAAAGGCAUCAGGAUCCGAAAUGGACCGAUGGUUCGGGUUCGGGUGUGUAGGCGAGGUUCGGGCCCGAGAGGACCUUUCGGGUUCGGUUCAGCAGCCUUCGGCUCAGAAGGGUUCGGUCCCUUAAGAGGACUUUCGGGUCCUAAGAGGACUUUCGGUUCCUAAGAGGGGUUUCGGUUCCAAAGAGGAGUUUCGGCUCCUUAAGUCCGUUUUUCGCGUAGACUUCCGUUUUUGGGCUGUUUUCGCCAAAUUCGAGGGUCGGGAUGCCCCGAGUGAUUAUAGAAAGUUGAGAGAGAUUUUGAGAGAGAUUUGGGAGAGAUUUGACAUUCUUGGAGAGAUUUCUCAUACAAAGAGAUGUUUUGGAGAGAUUUCACAUACUUAGAGAGAUUUGGGAGAGAUUUCACAUACUUGGAGGAAUUUCUCAUACAAAGAGAGAUUUGGGAGACAUUUCACAUACUUAGAGAUAUUUGGGAGAGAUUUGACGUGCUUGGAGAGAUUUCUCAUACAAAGAGAUGUUUUGGAGAGAUUUCACAUACUUAGAGAGAUUUGGGAGAGAUUUGACAUUCUUGGAGAGAUUUCUCAUACAAAGAGAUAUUUGGGAGAGAUUUCUCAUACUUAGAGAGAUUUCACAUACUUGGAGAGAUUUGGGAGAGAUUUCUCAUGAAGAGAGAUAGAGUGAAAACGAUUGAGAGAGGUUUCAUUGGUGACCUUUUUGAGUGUCCGGCUUACCAAUGCAAGGUCCGUAAACCCUGUUAAGCCUUAUUUAAGGAUCUUACAUACUCCCGAUGAGUAUGCAACACUGUUUUAUCGGUUUGGCUCGCCACGUACCACAUAUUUAGGUUAAGGAGAUCUAGAUGUACGAACUUUACAAUUUAUGACUCCUCAUUAGAAUAGCAAGUUGUAUAGAAAUUACAUAAUGUAAAUUCUAGUACCCAGGGGCAAAUUGAGUCGAACGGUUUGACUUGUUGCCUUUGGUUGACUUUGACUUGACCGGAAGUUGACAGUUGUCGAACUAAACCUUUUAUAAAUUCCCAAUCUUAGUUACUUUAGGAAAAUGUGAAAUUGGUUCUAACCCAUGAAAUUACACUUUGUACCAUACCAAGUUGUUGGUGGAGCGUGUGUGGGUAACCGACACACUAACAUAGACUAGUAAGAGUGGCAAAAUGCGACUUAAUCUUUAUCAUAGAUCGGUGGAGCGCAUGUGGGUAACUGGCACAUUGAUUAGAUGAUAAAGAUUAAGGGUACCAAGUUAAUUUGCAUGGUUAUUCAAACCUUGUUUGUGAUCCUCGACAUCCUAGUCACAAACUUGAGAGGGCACAAUCGAGAUUUAAACAUGCCAUUAAAAAGUUCAAUGAAUCUCAAAAGAAUCUAGGAGUUUCAAUCCAAUUAAAACCUAAUAAUUUAUUUUGUUUUUCAUGGUGAAAAUUAGUGAAUCGUCAUUCGUCUACAUUCAAAUAUUUUAAUGCUUGGAUUACGACAUCCCUCUUCCAAGUUCUGAAGUAUUGUGUUGGGUCCUAGCCUUAAUAUUAUAUGUGGGUGUCUUAUUAAGGAUCCUAUAUCUAAUCUCAACUUUUGUUUCUUCUUUUCAGAUGUCUUCCAACAAUGGUGCUUCUGGCUCAAACCCUUCCGGCUCCUUCUCUCUCAUGAACCUUUAUGGGAGAGACAUCUUUGAUGCUUCAAACUUUAAUGAUUAGAUUAGGAACGUCAGGAUGGUCACACGUUACGAGGACAAGGGAAUAUGUCCUUGACAAGGAGCUAAAAUAAAUUGAUGAGUCUACUUCUACUCCAGGAGAUCGCUGACUUUAGGGCACAUGAGAGAGAUGCCAUGAAGGUGGAAUGUAUCAUGCUAGCGACAAUGACAGUUGAACUCUAGAAGUCCUAUGAGGACUUUUACCCUUUUGAGAUGCACAUGGACUUGGUGGACCGCUACCAUCAAAGUGCUCGUCAACAGAGGUAUGCAAUCAUCUCUUCCAUGAUAACAACCCAAAUGAAGGAUGGUGAAUCCAUCACGGGCCACAUGUAGAAGAUGCAAAGAUUUGUGGAACGUUUACUGAAGUUGAAUGUGAACUUCCCCGAGGAGUUAGCUAUUGAUAUCAUAUUGCACUCCUUACCUACUUGUGAUGAUUAGUUCUGAAAGAGCUAUCACAUGAAAAAGGAGGAGGUUACACUCAGAAAACUUCAAGGACUUUUGAAGACAUCCGAAAUCGAUCUCAAGGGUAAAUUGGUUGUUACUACUCCUACUCCUAACACCGCCCCUGUUCUGGAAAUCAGGCAAGUUAGAGGGACAAAGAGGAAGACCCCUUCGAAGGGUACCAAGGGAAAUUCUCUUGAUGGCUCCUCUUCAAUUGGAACCAAAGGUGGUUCUGUUUCUCCUUCUUCCAACCCAAAGGAAUCUCAAUGCAUCUAUUGUCAGGAAAAGGGGCACUGGAAACGAAACUGCCCCAAGUACUUACACAAUGUUAAGGAUGGGAAGGUCAAACCUACCCAUGAAGGUGUUUACACUAUAUUGUCUAAUAAAUCAUUAAAUUCUACUUCUUCGGUUCUUGAUACAGGUCGUGGUAUUCUUAUAUGUUCUGAUUUGUCGGGCCUAAGAAGAAGUGAUGAUGUUGAGCACAGAAAGAUAAACUUGAUCAUGGGGAAUAGGAAAGUCUCACCUGUCACCAAGAUUGGAGUUUAUUCUUUGUUGCUAAGUAGUGUGUUAGUGUUAGAUUUGAAUAAGUGAUGUUACUUGUCUGAAAUGGUGAGAAAUAUUAUUUCCAUUCAUGGUUUGUGCAAAUAAGGAUUUACUUUUUCAUUUGAUAAUAAAGUUGGUGGUAUUAAUUCUUUUUAUAAUAAUGUUCUUUAUUUUAAAGCAUUACCUUGUGAUGGUGUAUAUGAAACUGUGUCAGUUGUAGAUAACUUAUGAAAUAACGUAUUGUAUAUCGAUUCUUCCACUAUUUUGGAUAAAGCAUCUUUGUGGAAUUGUCGUCUUGGACAUGUUAACAAGAAGAGCAUAGCCCAACUUUAGAAGGCUGGAGUCUUGGAGUCAUUUGACUUAAGGUCAGAUGAUAAUUGCGAGUCAUGUUUACUUGGAAAAAUUACAAAGUCACCCUUCACUGGUACUUGUGCGAGGAGUGAAGGUUUGUUGGACCUCAUACGCACAGAUGUGUGUGGACCCUUCAGAACCACCACAAGGGAUGCUAAUCGCUUCUAUGUGACUUUUACUAAUGAUUAUAGUAUAUAUAGGUAUGUCUACUUAAUCAAGCAUAAUUAAGAAACCUUUGAAAACUUCAAAGAGUUUAAAUAGGAAGUGGAGAAUCAGCUGGGCAGGAACAUUAAGAUGCUCUGAUCCUAUCGAGGACGAGAGUAUCUUAGCACAGAGUUCCUUGACUAUCUUAGGGAAUCUAGAAUUGUUUCACAAUUGACACCUCCCAGAAAACCACAUCUUAAUGGUGUGGCUGAGAGGCGCAGUAGAACCUCGUUAUACAUGGUUCGUUCCAUGAUGAGUCAAGCUUCGUUAUCAGUCUCAUUCUGCAGGUAUGCCUUAGUGGUUGUCGCCCAUACCUUAAAGCUAGUCCCUAUCAAGAAGGUUGCCAAAACACCUCAUUAGAUGUGGUCUGGGAAAGUUCCCAAUUUAGACCACAUCAAGAUUUGAGGUUGCGAGGCCUUUCUGAGAUAUGAGACUCAGGACACGCUCGAACCUCGUAGUGAGCGGUGUAUUUUCAUCGAGUACCCACAUAAAUCCUUUGGUUGCCUCUUCUACAGACCUAGUGAGAAUGUGGUCUUUGUGGCAAGGAGAGGGGUCUUUCGUGAAUGAGAGUUUAUAAGCCAAGGAAACAGUGGGAGGCAAAUUGAUCUUAAAGAACUUCAAGAGUCAAGCGAUGAAGGAACCUAAGACCCUAAUAAUCAACCUAAGGAGGAAACUCCUAUUGAUUAGUCGUUACUUCUAAGCCGUUCCACAAGAUUUAGCAAUCCACCUGAGCAUUACUAUGGUUUUCAUAUUACUGCGGAAGGUGAUGCAUUUAUUAGUGAUAGUACACUGGUAAAUUUAGAUGAGCCUAAUAACUUUAAGGAAGCCAUGGCAGGCCCUGAGUCCGCGAAAUGGAAAGAGUCCAUGGACAACGAGAUUCAGUCCAUGUAUGACAAUCAAUUUUGGAACUUUGUUGACAAUGUACCGGGUCGUAAGAUGGUAAGGUGCAAAUGGAUCUUCAAGAAGAAGACCAAUAUGGAUAGGAACGUACACACUUAUAAAGCACGACUGGUUGCGAAGGGAUUUACUCAAACUCCGGGAGUUGACUAUGACGAGACCUUCUCACCAGUAGCAAAGAUUAAGUCUAUUAGGGUUUUGCUAGCCAUAGCUGCAUUUCAUGAUUAUGAAAUAUGGCAAAUGGAUGUCAAAACCGCUUUCCUUAGUGUAAGCUUGAGAAAUCCGUCUAUGGAUUGAAACAAGCAUCUUGCAGAUGGAAUCUUUGUUUCGAUGAGAAAGUCAAAGAGUUUGAUUUUUCAAAGAGUGAAUAUAAGUCGUGUGUAUAUGUUAAGGCUAAUGGGAGUAUAGUUAGGUUUUUCGUACGGUAUAUGGAUGACAUACUACUCAUAGGAAAUGACAUCCCAACCUUGUAGGAGGUUAAAACUGACUUGGGAAGUGUUUCACUAUGAAGGACCUUGGAGAAGCUGCCAAUAUCCUAUGUAUAAGGAUUUUGAGAGAAAGGAGUAAGAGACUAAUUGGACUUCGUCAAAUUACCUACUUGGAUAAUGUGCUGAAGAGUUUCAGCAUGCAGGAUUCCAAGAAAGGCGACUUACCAAUCCAGAGUAACGCCAAACUGAGUAAGACUCAGAGGCCGAGUACAGAGGCUGAGAUAGCUUAGAUGAGUCGAGUACCAUAUGCUUCCGCUGUAGGCUCGAUCAUGUUUGCUAUGACUUGUACUCACCCGGAUGUGGCCUUUGCUUUGAGCAUGUUCAACAUAUAUAUUAAGGGAAUCCAGGAAAGGCUCACUGGACUGCAGUAAAGAAUAUUCUCAAGUACCUAUGGAGGACUAGGGACUAGGUCCUUACCCUUGGUGGGAAUGAUGAUUUAAGAGUUGUGGUGUAUAGUGAUGCUGGCUUCCAGAAUGAUAGGGAUAAUUUCUGCUCUCAGUCGGGCUGGGUCUUUACCCUAAACGGAGGAACGAUUACUAGGAAAAGUUCUAAGCAAGAAACAGUAGCUGAUUCAACUUGGGAAUCAAAGUACAUAGCAUCAAGUGAGGUGGCAAAGGAAGAUGUAUGGCUAAACAACUUCAUUGGAUACCUUGGAAUUGUACCUGCUAUUAAGGAGCGUAUGGAUAUUUUCUUUGAUAAUGAGGGUGCAGUUACCUUAGCUAAGGAACUAAGGGAUCACGGCAGAUCCAGACACAUCGACAGAAAAUACCACUUCAUUAGACAUUAGAUAGAAGAAGGACUCCUCGUGGUAAAGAGGGUAUCAUCAGAUGAGAAUCUAGAAGAUCCCCUCACGAAGGGGCUGUGUAGGGUUAAGCAUUUGCAGCAUGUGAGGCGCAUUGGGCUGAAGGAUAUUAUUAGUUUUAUAGAUUAGAUAGUUAUUUCUAAAACAUGUAAAAUGUAAAUUGACAUUUGAUGAUUAAAUAAAAGUUGUUGUUUAUUUAUAAGUAACGUGUUGCUAUCUUGUGUCAAUUAUUUACUAUUGUUUCAAUUUUACAUGUUUUGACUUCCAAAAUAAUUACUUUAUUCAAAUUCUCCAUAGUCAGUCAUAUGUUGGAAGUAGAUAUCAAUCAAGACUGUCAUGAAUUGGGCUUGUAGAUAUCUAAGAUGUUAGACAUAGCAAAAGAUGCCACAACAUUCAUGAGUGGUCAUAAGUUCUGAGUAUUGGAUUCAACCCAUGCUCACUUGUAUCACUUCAUGGAAUUUAUCUCGAGUGAGACGCUAAUAUCAUAUAAGUCUUCAAACCUAGAGAUAUGAGUUGUUGAUUAUGAGUUGUUUGUGCAUUUAUUAUACGAAAACGCACUGGUAACUCGAUGUUAUAAAACGUGCUUUUAUGUAUGAUUCAACAAGUAAUUAGUACAAGCAUACGAGUCAAAGUUUGUUUGUUCCUUCUGGUUCUUGGAGGAUUAGAAGCGAUAUCUGGGCCCCUCGAUGAUUUUGUUUUGACCUAUGUAUCGGGCCCGGUCAGA